ensembl:lncRNA
AGUUAGCCACUGCAAAACUAUAGUGCAUCUGAUUUCUGCAAAAAAGAGAUGAUCUUAGGCCUUUGAAUGCAACAAAAGAACAAAUGAACUCCAUACCUCUGAGAGCCCUUCAAAACUGAAUGGAUCCUGUCACAAACAAGCUGUCAUGCCUGAGGGAAGAAUAGGUGGUGACCUAGCUGCCAUGAGGUCUACAGGGUUUCUGUUCCCCCUCACCACCUGCCUUCUUCAGCACCAGUGUCCUCCAGGACAGGAAACACGUGUCUGGCCAGACCCAGUUCCUGGGUCAAGCCACUGUAUUCUGGUGCUGGAGAGGAAGAGAUUUCCAAUGAAACAGUUAAAGGUAUCAAAAUGCCAACAGAUGUCAAAAGGAAUGGGCCCUGAAGUACCACAGAGUAGAACAACAGCUGGUGGAAAGGAAAAUUCCUCAGAAAUCAGAAUUGCUCAGCUUGUACAACGAAGUGAACUGUUUGCUGUAAGUGCUUGGAAAGUCAUCCAGAAAGCUAAACAGCUUCAGAUAUUUCAUAUAAGUGUUUCAAAUAAAUAA